CGGCAACAGCUCAAAUUUGAAAUCUGGCUCUUCUAGGGUCCGAGUUGUAAUUUGUAGAAGAUGCUUCGGGUGUGGCUCCGGUCUAAGUUCCUUGGAACAGGACGUCAUAGAGGGUGAGAAUCCCGU
rnacentral:rRNA from 2 species